rnacentral:rRNA from 1 species
GAUGAACGCUAGCUACAGGCUUAACACAUGCAUGUGGUGCGACGAACCAGGCUUCGGCCUGGGGCAGAGCCGCGAACGGGUGAGUAACACGUGGGUAACCUGCCCCGAUGACCGGGAUAGCCCGGGGAAACCCGGAUUAAUACCGGAUGGCCCUUUGGAUCUUCGGAUCUGACGGGAAAGGUAGCUUCGGCCUCCGGUCGAGGACGAGCCCGCGGCGGAUUAGCUUGUUGGUGAGGUAACGGCUCACCAAGGCGACGAUCCGUAGCUGGUCUGAGAGGACGAUCAGCCACACUGGGACUGAGACACGGCCCAGACUCCUACGGGAGGCAGCAGUGGGGAAUCUUGCGCUAAUGCGGGCAACCGUGACGCAGCGACGCCGCGUGAGGGAAGAAGGCCUUCGGGUUGUAAACCUCUUUCAGGAGGGACGAAGCCACUCGGGUGAAUAGCCCAGAGGGUGACGGUACCUCCAGAAGAAGCCCCGGCUAACUACGUGCCAGCAGCCGCAGUAACAC